rfam:Schistosoma curassoni strain Dakar, Senegal genome assembly, scaffold: SCTD_contig0013901
AUCCAGUUGAAGAGUUCCAAAUGGGACGAGACGUGCGUUCUGGAU